GACGGGGCAACAAAAGGUCAUUGCGAUCGAAGGACACGUGUGCGACCGACAGCGAAACUUCCACAGCCAGCGAAGGAACAAUUUGGCCGAUCCAUCCACUCCGGCGCCUACAAAAGAAACCCCUAUUGGGGUUUUUUCACCGGAUCGAGAUCGACA